ensembl:lncRNA
CAAAAUUAAACCUGAUCUCUUUAGUUGUAAAAUGAGGUCUUGUUCAAAUUCCCUGGAUAGACAAUUUUUGCAUAUAAAGGUUUGAUUUAAGGAGCUUAUCCUGACCAAAGAUAAUCUCUUAUGAAUGUCCAUUGUUUUCCAUUGGUCACAAAGAUUUACCAAAAUAAACACAAUCCACACAUCCAACAUAAAAUUAGACAUUUUAUUUUUUUUUCUUUGCAAUCUUUUCUUUUCUCAAAAAGAGAAGUAUAGCAGUACACUCUUUGUUUCUUAGAAAAUGAAACAAACAAACAAACAAACAAACAAAUCAAAAUGACAACAACAAAGUUAUACGUUUUAUUUUUCAUUUUGUAUUUUCUUCCUAUGUUUUGGAAGAGCAUACUGUCAUAGAAAAAUACUAUAUUACAUAGAAUAGAACUUUACACAGUUUGGAAAAAAAAUACACAAUAUCAAUGCGUACAUUAUUAAUAGCCCAGUCCAGAACCGUAGCAACUUUGACAUCCAAACACAUAUUAGGCAAAAGAACAAAUCAAAAUAUCUUUAAAAAAUAAAGCAUGAAACAUAAUUAAAAAAAUAAACACAUUAAUAAAAAAAAAUAGGAACAAAGACUGGAGACACUGACAUUUCCUACUUUUGAAAUGUGCAGCAUGACAUCAUUUUCUCAGUUUCAAGUCAUAAUUACGCUGACUGCAACGAAGAAGUCAGUGUUUGUGUUUAUCAUUUAGCUAAAUAGGUUAACUGGCUAGAUAUCGGAGAAGAAAUUUAAGUUAGCUCAUCAACAACUGUCAUUAAACAGGCCAGUAAGCUAACAAGACAUCUUAUUGACUCAUUGUAUAGUUCUCAGCAACAAGCCUACUUAUAGCUGGUUAGUUUAAGUAGGUUUGUUGCUGCUCACUUAUUGUGGCAAGUUGUGAAUAAAAUGGCUAUAAAUAGCUGGUUUGGGUAGUUUUGCUGUCACAAUUGUAUUUGUUAUUUAUGUAUAACUAAUGGUCAGAUUGGUAGGUGCUAUAGUUUGCUAGUUGUAACAACUUGCUAGUGUUCAGCUAACAUUUUUUAUCUGUUACUGGUAAUUUUCUGAUUUGUUGAGUUGACAAGAGGUGACAAGAUAAUGUAGUUUCCUUGCAGCCAUUGAAUGUUUUGCUACCCACAGUUUGCUGCAGCUGAGGCUCUCCAAUUUAGACACUGCAUGUUAAAAAACAAAACAAAAUGCACACCAAAAAUAAAAAUAAAGAGCCAAAAGAUUGAUGUAAUGUAACACAAAUAUUUGACUGUAGUCUCCCAACCAAAAUCAUGAGUACAUGACUGGCUUACGUUGCACAUUGACAACUCGUGCGGUAGAAAAAGCAACAUGUGCUCUCUCCCCUACAGGAACUUGUUAUAGAAGCAUAAAGUAAUUACCCAGUAACAUUUACCUAGUUUGGCUUUCCUUACUGCUCAAUAGCCAUGAACUAGCAUCCUCUGGUCAGAAGGUGAAUCGCCCUUUAUUUAAGCUGUACGACAAGAUUAACCAUGUUUACAUGGUAUAUUUGUGAGUGACUGAGCAGGCGUGGGCUUGUGAAAGGGCUUUACUUUAGCUGAUGAUGUAAUAUAUGGUGGAUUAUGUAAUAACUUAUCUAAUGUACUGAAAUCGCUUAAUGGGUUCAGGGGAGUAAUGCCAACAAGCUAGUCUAAUAAAAUGUGGUACAUUACCAUUAAAUCUUCACAUGAACAUUUUUAUUUUCCCCAAAAUCGAAAAAGCACAGGGAAUUAAAUAACAUUUUUUGUAUUAUAAACUUAUCCGCGCGGAACAGUUGUUACGGUUCUGGAUUGGGCUUUAAACUGACAUUUGACCCAAAAAUGCAUAGGGAGUAUACAUGGCCACAUACAUACAUAAAAGAAAAAAAACAAACAAACAAAAAAACAAUUCAGAAGGCUUUUCUCAGCAUUUUCAUUUUUUGUUGCUUUACAAAAGUUUGUUCCAUUGUACAUGAAAAUACUUACAGUGCAUGGUAUUCAACAGUGUGCUUUAUAUUCAGCAGUAAGUGCUUGGAGAGAAGUAAAUGUCCCUUUUUUGUAUGUGUGUUGAGUUUACACUAUUUUAAGCCUUUUCCGGUUUUUGGAAAUAAAAAUAUAAAGGUCCACAAUCCUUUAAAACCUCACUACUGUACAAUGAAAUGUACACAAAUUAGUUUACACACACACACAGACACAUACACACAAACACACACACACCUCUGAAACAGUGUAUGCCCAGAAGUAGUGGACAUUUUUUGCACAUACAUGUAUUAGACAGAGAAACGUUGACAAAUAGAAGUCUUCUGUAUAUCGUUAGCUUCAUAGCAUAAGUGCCUAAGUCAUUGACUUAGUCCAAUGACUUAGGCACUUAUGCUAUGAAGCUAACGAUAUGUUUUGUUAUUCACACCCAUACAGACAUGGAAAUUCUUAUAGGGUGCCGCUGAAUUCUGUUACAUAACAACAUAAGAAAAUGGUAGGAACAGGGGUUGUGACUCUCUCAAAGUUGAGUUUUUUUUGUUAGUCUUGUCGAAAAAAAAAUGCUGUUCUAUUACUCACUUAUAAUAAUAUCCUUAUACUGACGAUGUAUCCAUCAUAUACUCCAUAUAGUUUUGUUCACCAUAAUUCAUGCUAAUAUGUGUACACACACAAGUGUGCAAAGGAUGUUUAGAUUUGUUUUUUUCCUCAAAAAGGACAAAACCUUUAUCUUGCAACUUGCGCAUUUAUAAAAUACUGCAGUAAAGUAUUUAAAUGUUAACUAAGAGCAACCCAUACAUAGAUGAGCAGUUUCUUUGAAAUUGUAUGGCUUCAUCAUGUCUAUCAAUAGGAUUAAAGAAGACAAAGAAGUGAACUGUGGUAAGUUCUUAGAAAUAUUUGGAUGAUGCCAGUUAGCGUAAAGUGUAAAAGAUUGGUGCUGUUUUGGUGGAAAAUGGUAGCAAAACCAGAGAUUGAUUUUAGUUUUAUUCUGUUUACUGCAAUUUAUUUAAGUUAACUGCUACUUUGUAGAAUUUAAGCACCUACUUUUGCACAGCACAUUCAUAAACUGCCAAGAUCAGUAGGAGGGAACAAGAGCCAGCCCAAUUUCAGUUAAUCCAAAGAUAAUUGGAGCAAACACAUUUUUGGCAGGAAAAAGAAAAAAUCAUGAGAAAUUAGGGGUCUGAAGGAAAUGGAAUUAAUGUCUGGGGUUGCAAAACUUGAAACUUGAAGACUUGUAAGUUCUAAAGUUUCUGUGUGAAGGGUAUUUCAGUGCUCCAGCUACUUUGAGCAUUCUGACUAUUGUUAGUCGGAUGCACAGUGCCCUUGAUUAUAAAAUCAAGCACCCUGAAAUUUAGUUUUUGGGAAAGUCAAACCCAAAACAGGUUAGUAUGAUGGCUGAUGAGUCACAGCUUAUGUUGACACAAAGAAGAAUAAAGCAAAUUAAUAAAUAAAUUGCAGCUGUACAAGAUGAUGCUACAGCUAGGACUAGCUCUGUUAAAUAUUAAUGGUGCACCACUCCAAACUAAAAAAAAUGCUACUUGUUGUGCUUCUGACCUGAUGUACUGCCUUUGGCCUUGGACACUGUAGUCUCAUUCAUUAAUGAGGCGUCAGUGGUGUAAAAAUACAGAUUGUGUGUCUAACCACAUUGCAGGUGUAAGGUUCUAGUUGGCUGUCUCUUGAAUUAGAAAUUAACAUUCCCUUAGCAGUAGAAGUAGAAAUAUACUUAGGGCUUUAAAACUAUCGCACAACUAAGAUCAGGUUUAGUUCAAGAAGGGAUCUGUAAGAUGUGACAAGGUUGCUAAUCAAAAGUUAGCAGGGGAGGCUUUAGGAAGAAGAGAAAGGUUUACUAUUUUCCCAAUAGUCAGCAUUAUGUGAACUGAUUAGAAUCUUGCACUAAUGAGCUGUCAGUCAAGGAAACCACAACACUUAAUGUUGUGGUGAAGGUUAAUAGUGGGUAAAACCAGCUCUCAAUCCUUGACAUAACAUUUGGCACACACUCUGUUCAAACUAAUGUUUGUUCUUAGUUCAAUUUUGGAUCCAUGAUGAAAUUGCAAAUGAGCACACACAAGUAGUCAGGAAUGCUCACAGUGCUUCAAAGGGUGCUGACCAUUAAAGGAUAGUGGCUCAGUUUAACUCAGGCCGAACUCUGGAAAUUUCCAAUUGCACCUUGGAAUAGAACCUGCUGAUACACUCACAUACAAAUUACACAUCAUAAACAGACAUUCAUGAAAGACACAACAAAAUGGCUUGAUAAUAAAUGCAUAACACACACUGUACGGUUUCAUUUCCUUUGUUAUCAGAGCCUUUUGUGUAAGAAUGUGUGUGUCGGAAAUUUGUCCAUAGUCUGGCUUCACCAGCAACCUAGUGUAGUAGGUCUGAUAGCAGAUGAUGCUAUUGACUUUGUUCAUAAUCUUUGUGCAAAAGGGCGAGUGUUACCAAUAAAUCCAAACAGCAGUAGUGCUCUAUAGCUAUUAUUUGAAUGAACUGUGUGUCCUAGUUUAAAAGGCUGUUAAAUUAAAAGCCACAACAAAGAGAAUGUUACUUCUUUAUGACUUGUUGCUUGUUGUUCCCACUGCCUUAACAUCUAUACAACAGCAUAAAUGAUCCAUGACAAUGAGACUCUUCAAUAAUUGAAUCUUCCUCAAGG